GAUGAACGCUGGCGGCGUGCCUAAUACAUGCAAGUCGAGCGAACAGACGAGGAGCUUGCUCCUCUGACGUUAGCGGCGGACGGGUGAGUAACACGUGGAUAACCUACCUAUAAGACUGGGAUAACUUCGGGAAACCGGAGCUAAUACCGGAUAAUAUAUUGAACCGCAUGGUUCAAUAGUGAAAGACGGUUUUGCUGUCACUUAUAGAUGGAUCCGCGCCGCAUUAGCUAGUUGGUAAGGUAACGGCUUACCAAGGCAACGAUGCGUAGCCGACCUGAGAGGGUGAUCGGCCACACUGGAACUGAGACACGGUCCAGACUCCUACGGGAGGCAGCAGUAGUGAAUCUUCCGCAAUGGGCGAAAGCCUGACGGAGCAACGCCGCGUGAGUGAUGAAGGUCUUCGGAUCGUAAAACUCUGUUAUUAGGGUAGAACAAAUGUGUAAGUAACUAUGCACGUCUUGACGGUACCUAAUCAGAAAGCCACGGCUAACUACGUG
rnacentral:rRNA from 1 species